rnacentral:rRNA from 1 species
GUGUCAGCCGCCGCGGUAAUACGGAGGAUGCAAGCGUUAUCCGGAAUGAUUGGGCGUAAAGCGUCCGCAGGUGGCUAUGUAAGUCUGCUGUUAAAGAGCAAGGCUCAACCUUGUAAAGGCAGUGGAAACUACAUGGCUAGAGUGCGUUCGGGGCAGAGGGAAUUCCUGGUGUAGCGGUGAAAUGCGUAGAGAUCAGGAAGAACACCGGUGGCGAAAGCGCUCUGCUAGGCCGCAACUGACACUGAGGGACGAAAGCUAGGGGAGCGAAUGGGAUUAGAUACCCUAGUAGUCC